GACGAACGCUGGCGGCGUGCUUAACACAUGCAAGUCGAACGGAAAGGCCCUGCUUUUGUGGGGUGCUCGAGGGGCGAACGGGUGAGUAACACGUGAGUAACCUGCCCUUGACUUUGGGAUAACUUCAGGAAACUGGGGCUAAUACCGGAUAGGAGCUCCUGCUGCAUGGUGGGCGGUGGAAAGUUUCGGCGGGUGGGGAUGGACUCGCGGCUUAUCAGCUUGUUGGUGGGGUAGUGGCUUACCAAGGCUUUGACGGGUAGCCGGCCUGAGAGGGUGACCGGCCACAUUGGGACUGAGAGACGGCGCAGACUCCUACGGGAGGCAGCAGUGGGGAAUAUUGCACAAUGGGCGGAAGCCUGAUGCAGCAACGCCGCGUGCGGGAUGACGGCCUUCGGGUUGUAAACCGCUUUCGCCUGUGACGAAGCGUGAGUGACGGUAAUGGGUAAAGAAGCACCGGCUAACUACGUG
rnacentral:rRNA from 1 species